AGACUCUUAAGAGUAAGUCUGUUCAGUUAGAGAAAGCUAAAUUUGGUUGAUGGAUGUUGUACAUAUAUGGGUUUUAAAAAAACUCUUCUAAAUUACUACAUUAAAUCUGGAACUUCAUGUUGCAGACAACACAUGGUACCAGGAGUGAAAUACACAGAGGAGGCUGGUCUGAAGGGCAAAGUGGAGUGUAGCCCUCCCAAGAUUCUGUAUCCCCCCCCCAAAAAAAACCUCCAAAGCCAUAGGACUUCUUAUUACAAGUAGAUGGUUCUACCCUGUCUCCUGGGAGGGAAAUGGUUAAAAAAAUCAAGCAUGAUUAGAGAUGGCUUCAUUAGGCAAGGCAGAGGACAAACCAUUUCCCCCAUCUUUUUUCAAAGUAGCUAAUAGACUCACUUGCAUAUCAAAAGACCCAGAAAAUAAACAGAGGGGAGGGAGAGUUUGUGUCCACCCUUCCCCAGCCAGUCAUUCUUCCUAUUUCUGUGUCUGCACCUUGCAGACAAUUCCAAUCCCUCAUUUUCAGAACACUUGCACCUGGGCUCAAAAACCCAUUGAUUUUUCUUAAUUUGUGUGAAUGAGAAAGGAGAGGACUGACUGAGACAAAUCAGCUGCAGGUUUCCCUGGGCGAGGAGCAAAUGUCUUGGCAGGACCAGAAACCUCCAGGGAUGGGAAUCUAAAUGAAACAUAAAUAUACGACAGCUGAAGAAAACCUUCUCUUACUGAAUAAAAGGACUCACAAACACGAAAGCGGAGUGGAGAAAUGACUGGUAGCUGAAAGAAUAAACGUAAGGUUUAUUACUACAAAGAGAACAAAGAGAAAGGAACAUCUUUGGCCCAUAAUACCUUAAGGACCGCCUGACUGUCUAUGCUUCAACUUUAUCACUGAGAUCUUCUGAAGGGGCACUGUUGGUGGUUCCUCACACCCCUGAGGUUCAGUUGGCCUCCACCAGGGACCGAGCCUUCAGUGUGGUAGGACCUACCCUGUGGAACUCCCUACCAACAGAGGUUCAGUGGGAACCAUCCCCUCCUUCUUUCAGGCAUCUCCUGAAACUGAACUUUUUAAACAGGCCUUUUAACGUCAGUUUUCUUUUCCAACCAAUGCAGUACUUACGGAUGCUUUUAUUAUUGUUUCUUAUAAUACUUUGGCUGAUUUUUAAUUCUGUAACAUUUUUGUAUGCUGUAAUGCCACCUUGAUAUACGUUUAUGAAAAAUGUAGCUUAUAAUUAUUUUAAUAAAUAAAUAAACAAACAUAAUAGAACAAGCUGACAUGCACAAAAGGAGGGAGUACACACUGACAGUGAGAUCACCAACCUUUUUGGGCCCAUAGGCACAUUUGCAAACAGGAGAAACUAUUGUGCCCCCCCCCGCAACUAAGCACACACCACAACCUAGUCAAUUGGUUACAAUAUAAUUUAGGCGGGGGAGGGGCCCAAGGGAAGCCUCUUUAGGUACAUGUGUGCCCACAGGCACCAUGCUGGCAACCCCUGCACUAAUAGCAUCUGAUAAUCACCAGAAGUUCAAGUUCUGAUGCUAAUCGCAAAAGAAACAGUCAAUAAAAUGCCACUGGCUGCAAUUCUAUACCCAUUUGCCUAGGUGCAAGCCCCACUGAACUUAGUGCAACUUAUCUGACAUGUACAGGAACACAGUGAUAAGAAUUAAAUUCAGGUUGCAGCAGAGACACUUUUGUGCUUUGGUCAUUGCAGCCUUUGCAUGGUUGGGUUUUAUUUUCUACUUUUACUGCUAUAUUUGUGGUUUUAAAUUCACAACACAGGACUCUUGACAAUGUAGUGAACUGAUAUGGCAAGGAAGCCAGUGAAUUCUGAGGCAAUAUUAUCAUGCUGCUUUAUGAAAGUGCUAUUUUAGUGUAUGUGUUAUUGGCUUCUGAAUGUUUGUGAAAGAGAAGUUUUGAAACGGGACUGCUGACCUGCAUAUUUUUGGGCACUUGGAAUGGUUUUGAAGUUUUUCAGGGCAUUGUACUGAGGGGCUAAAGUUGCAUGAUAUUAAUGGUUCCUGUCCUACUACAGGAGUUAAUUAACAUAGCAAAUCUAUCAUGAUUGUGUUAUCUCCAAUUACUGCUGUUGUGAAUGGUCAUUCUGUUUAUUUUGCAUACAUUUAAACUUUAAUUGAAUUCACAAACUUUUUACAUUUUGUUUAGUCUGUCAUCUGACAAGGACUUUGAUCUACUGAGGAAUGUGAACAUUCUUCUGCAAGGUUCACAGUCUCAUUUGAAUGCAUACUUUGGACAUACAUUGUCAAUUUGUUCCUUUGGCUGCUAUGGAGCUACAGCAGCCUCCCCAGUCUCCAGAUGUUUUGAGGUACAACUCUCAUCAGCCCAGCCAGCAGUUGGAUACUCAGUGUUUUGCUGCUGCAGAUAUCAUGGCUUGAAAUGAGGAAAAAGCUUUCUGUGUCUGUUGCAGGGUCUGUAAGCUAAGCCAAACAAUGCUCAUAUUCCAAGUUUGAUUUCAAGUCUGGAGGAAACUGAAGAGGAAUCGAUUACCGCUAUCUGUGUUUGUAUUACUGUGUCUUUUAAUCAUCUGCGGACGGAAUACUUUGGCAGCAACUAAUUCUUCACUAGCAACCAGGGCCGGCUCCAGGCAUGCGGGGGCCCUUGGGCAUUAGCUUGCCCUGACUCCCUGGUGUGUGUGUGUGCGUGUGGCCCCACACACACCCCAUGCCCCCCUACCAGUCUAGUCUUUAGCAUUGCCCUUAAUGAAGAUGGCGGCCGUGGUUCCUCCACCGCUAUCUUUGUUGAUGGCACACAUACGUGCUAUGCGUGCACAUCUCUGCCAUCAACUAAGAUGGCGGCAGCGGCUUCAGUACCUUAGGGAAGCUGCGGCCACCAUCUUCAUUAAGGGCAAUGCUAAAAAGCCGGCUGACAGGUAAGUGGGGGGCAUGGGGGGGUGCGGAACGUGGAAGGGGAGCAAAGGGCCCCUCAGGGGCUCUUGUAGCUCCGGGGCUCUCAGGCCAGUGCCUAACCUGGCCGCCCUUUAGAACCGGCCCUGCUAGCAACUCUGACUGGAAUAACUUGUAAUUCGCUAUACCCAUGAAUAUUUAUACAGUGCAUACAUGUUUCUGGGCCUGUUAUCAUCAGCUCCUCCAUAGUUUUAUUCAAAAAUUAAAGGCUCUUCUAUGGACAA